UUCCAAGUUUUUUUUUUUGCUGAGUAUUUAUUACGUGUUUUGAGUCUCGAGAACAUAGGUGGAUAACCAGCUUGACUUUCUUGUAACUCCGUGUGCGCGCGUCCUUUUGAAUGAACAGCGCGCCAAGGGAUCGCGAUGACUUGCCGUGGAAAGGCUGCAAUCCGAGGCGAGAAUAGUCCUAUUCGGGUCAUCGGGCCUUUCUUCCGAGUCAACAGAUGCAUGGGGCUGAGUUAGUUUGCGGGAAGCAUUUGCCUUUGGCCUUUAUUUUGCCUUAAUGGAUUGGUGUGCUGUUCAUAUCAGAACCCCAUAUUGUUACUGGGAAGAAGGAAACUGCCUUGUAGAUAGCAGAGGAAAGCUCCAGAGACGUUGAUCGAAGAUGCUUUAAGGAGCCAGAAGAAAGAAAGAUUUUGAGGGAAUAAGCAACCAAACAGAAGAAGAUAAGAAAAACCAGAAGUUGUUUGGACAAAAAUAGGUGAAUGCUGAGCCCUGCGAGUGGUUUGUCUUACUUGAGCUAUCUUGCCACCCCCCCACUUGCAUCUGUUACAAUAGCACAAUGGCACUUCCUGAAUUAAACAGUCAUAAAGUUUCC